GACGAACGCUGGCGGCGUGCUUAACACAUGCCAGUCGAACGGAAAGGCCCUGCUUUUGUGGGGUGCUCGAGUGGCGAACGGGUGAGUAACACGUGAGUAACCUGCCCUUGACUUUGGGAUAACUUCAGGAAACUGGGGCUAAUACCGGAUAGGAGCUCCUGCUGCAUGGUGGGGGUUGGAAAGUUUCGGCGGUUGGGGAUGGACUCGCGGCUUAUCAGCUUGUUGGUGGGGUAGUGGCUUACCAAGGCUUUGACGGGUAGCCGGCCUGAGAGGGUGACCGGCCACAUUGGGACUGAGAUACGGCCCAGACUCCUACGGGAGGCAGCAGUGGGGAAUAUUGCACAAUGGGCGGAAGCCUGAUGCAGCAACGCCGCGUGCGGGAUGCCGGCCUUCGGGUGGUAAACCGCUUUCGCCUGUGACGAAGCGUGAGUGACGGUAAUGGGUAAAGAAGCACCGGCUAACUACGUG
rnacentral:rRNA from 1 species